AUACUCCGUAGCUCAGUGGUAAGAGCAUCCGACCGGUGCACGGAAGGUUAUGGGCUCGAAUCCAGUCGGGGACU